rnacentral:rRNA from 1 species
GCAAGUCGAACGGUAGAAUAGCUUCGGUUAUUUGAGAGUGGCGAACGGGUGAGUAACACGUAGAUGAUCUGCCUUGAAGUUGGGGAUAGCCCAUAGAAAUAUGGGGUAAUACCGGAUAAUCUCUUACGAUUUUGAUUGUUUGAGGAAAGGGGCUUCGGCCUCGCUUUGAGAUGAGUCUGCGGCUUAUUAGCUAGUUGGUAGGGUAAAGGCCUACCAAGGCGACGAUAAGUAGCCGGCCUGAGAGGGUGACC